rnacentral:rRNA from 1 species
GCACAUGCCUUAAACGGUAAAGCCGCGAAUGGCUCGGUAUAACAGCUGUUGUUUACUAGACCAUAGUUUUUUACUUGGAUAACUGUGGCAAUUCUAGAGCUAAUACAUGCACGAAAGCUCGGACCCUCGUGGAAAGAGCGCAUUUAUUAGACCAAAACCAAUCGAGUGCUUCGGUGCUUGUUUUUUGGUGACUCUGAAUAACUUAGUUGAUCGCACAGUCUUAGUACUGGCGACGUAUCUUUCAAAUGUCUGCCUUAUCAACUUUCGAUGGUAGGUUAUAUGCCUACCAUGGUUAUAACGGGUAACGGAGAAUUAGGGUUCGACUCCGGAGAGGGAGCCUGAGAAACGGCUACCACAUCCAAGGAAGGCAGCAGGCGCGCAAAUUACCCAAUCCCAGAACGGGGAGGUAGUGACGAAAAAUAACAAAACAGUCCACUCUGUGGCCUGUUAUCGGAAUGGGUACAAUUUAAAUCUUUUAACGAGGAUCUAUUAGAGGGCAAGUCUGGUGCCAGCAGCCGCGGUAAUUCCAGCUCUAAUAGCGUAUAUUAAAGUUGUUGUGGUUAAAACGCCCGUAGUUGGUUCUUCGGUCUCGAAGCUUGGUAGCUCGAAUGAGCUUAACUGAGUCUUCCGGCCUAUAUUUCUUGUACUCUCCCGAUGCUCUUUAUUGAGUGUCUCGAGAUGCUAGAACGUUUACUUUGAAAAAAUUAGAGUGCUAAAAGCAGGCUAUACGCUUGAAUAAAGUGCAUGGAAUAAUGGAAUAGGACUUUAGUUUUAUUUUGUUGGUUUUCGAAAUUAAAGUAAUGAUUAAGAGGAACAGACGGGGGCAUUCGUAUUGUUGCGUUAGAGGUGAAAUUCUUGGAUCGCAGCAAGACGAACAACUGCGA